rnacentral:sRNA from 1 species
UGUCUGUGUUGACCUUUAUGCGCCACUGU